GAAAGGCUGCGGCCACACCAACAGACGUCGUCCGGCCUUCUUCACACGCAACGAAGCGCCCAGGUGGAAAUGCAUGUACCCGCGGCAGCUUCUCGGCAGCGGGCUUCCUGGGACGGAAGACACAGGCUCGCCCGAGGGAGACGGAAGCAGGGGAUCUGCUAGAACUCAGCUCGCCUCCUCCUUUCUCAGCAGGGCAGAGAAUCAUGGGCUUGUGCUGACGAAAGCUCCAGAAAAUGGACUCAUUUAACCUUUCCAAAGAUAUUAUCCAAGCUGCAAAAUCUUGGCAAUCUGAAGACCUUUUAAGUCGAUAUACCAAAGAGCUUUAGUCAGGAUUGAAUGCAAAAUGCCAAAAUUUCACUUUUAAAAUCAUCGUAACAUCUAAAUACAACCUAAGCACACUUGUAAACUGAUGCCGAACAGGCACUUGGAGAGCCCUCCCUGCACCCCUUCCUCGCCCCCUCCUUUGUGCAAAUGCUGUUUGCCCAGAACUUCAGCCACUGAAAAUCCUGGGAACUUUCUCUUCCUGGCUGCCAACCUAGCAGUUUGGACUCACAGACGAGAUUUUUAAAUCACUGAGGGAUUUAAGCCUCUCUGUGUCACAGAAAAGCGAACACCCUCCCAGUUGAAGGUGGCCCCAAAGAUGCGGGCCUGGGACCCAGGACUUCUGCAGGAGAGUGGACGCCUGGGUGCCCCCCGCCUUGCCCUGCACAUGAAUAACAGAGUACACCAGUCAUCAUAAGAAGAAAAAUUCACAUUUAAAGUUUGGAAAGCAACAGGACAAAGGUCUGUCUUCAGUGGUGCGUAGACAUGCUCGUGAUUGAAUUGGAAAUAGUUCUCUUUCCUUCUCUCUGACUUCCUAACUGAAAAGCUGCAGCGUGGGGAGAAAGGCUGCUCAGAAGCCUGGAGCCAGAACACGCACCCCGGCUUUUGCAGGGCCGGCUCACUUGGUUAGAAUCAAAGGAAAAGCCUUGUUAUUUGGGAAGCUGGGCGUCCUCACCAAAUUAGGGGAUUUAAUUUGCAGAUAUCUAAGGAGUGCUUUGAAAUGAAAGAUGAACUAAAAUCUGCUCUGAGGCCCGUGAUUUUUCACCAGUGAAGGACUCUCUUGCUGCUGGACAUACAUGAAAAGCAUCAUCUGAUCUGAAACGCAAGUCCCUGCAAGACAGAGGAGAGACUUUAUAAACAUUUUAUACCAUUCUAUGAAAUCAAUUCGAUUCAGGGCUAGAAUUCAAGAAGUAAUCCAUGGGCAAGUAUAUCUGAUGGUAAACCCAAACGAUUAUAUUGUUAACCUCUUGUACUUUUUUUAAUUUUUUAUUAUUUGAUAUUAUUAUCACAAAAGUCGCUGGAACAGGAUCCAUGAGCUGCUUCUUCACUGCUUAGUGUUUUCAGAAGCUGAUGGAUUAUUAAGCUCCAAUUGAAUACUUGAUUUCCAAUGAUUCCAUUAAUUUUUCUGGUUUGUGGUAGGAUUUGAUUUACUUAUUUUGUACUUUAACACACCAAUAAAAAAUAGAUACUAAGAAA
ensembl:lncRNA LINC00683 long intergenic non-protein coding RNA 683